GAUAUUUUAUUUUAUUUUUUUCUCUUUCCUUUUUUUUCUUUGCUUUUUCUACCCAAAUCCCCCCUAGUAGAUAGUUGCAUACUUUUAGUUGUGGCGUGUGGGAUGCCGCCUCAACAUGGCCCAGUGAGGGGUGCCAUGUCCGCACCCAGGAUGCAAACCAGCAAAAGCCUGGGCCACCAAAGUGGAGUGCAUGAAUUUAACCACUCGGCCACGGGGCUGGCCCUAGAAUCUGAUAUUUUAUAUCAGAAGAAGAGAAGCUAACGAAAACAAUAAUAUGUUAUUAACUACUCAUUAUGAUUAUGUGCCAGCUAAUAUGUAAUCUCAUUUCACCCUCAAACAAAUACAAAGCACAAAGAGAUAUGAUUAUUAGUCCAUUUUUGCACAUCAUAAAAUUGAGGCACAAAAAGUUUAAGAAUUUGUCCAUAAAAACACAACCAGUAAGUGGUGGAGUAUGAUUUGAACGCCCACUGCCAUUAUCCAGUCCACACUUUCCAUAACCGACUGAAAAAUCAACAGUGUGAUAUAUAGAAAAAAAAGAGCAGGAGAGAACAAUAUCCAGGAAGUUUUAGGACAGAAUGCUAUCAACAACUUAAGUGUGAUAUCAACUUAUUCAAAAAUGAGAGUAUGAUUCUCUCCAUGAUAGGAGGAAAAGACUAUCCCAGAGAUCUGAAGAUGGAAUUGAGGUAAUUUAAGUUUUUUCUCCAUGAUGAUCAAGGAAAAAAUAAAAGUCUUCUUGCUGAGAAAGCAUAACGUCAUAAAAGGAGAUGAGGUCAAGGCUGGACUGAAAGGAAACAUGAAUACCAUUGAGAAUAAUGGACUAGCUCAUAAAAAAUUGCUCAGGGGUUGAGAAAUAAAGAACCUGUUUUUUUAAAAAAAACAAAAAGGACUAGGCAAAUGCAGACAAUUAGAGUUUGGGAUCAGGAUGGGAAAUCUAAAUAUUUUACUCUCUUAUAAAUUCUCUGUGCUUUAAUGCUCACUCCUCUGGCUAACUCUUGCUCACGCUUUAGAUCUCAGGGUAUGUUUCACUCCCUAGGUCAGGUUCCUUUGUAACAGAUUUCAUUGAAUAUUUUUCUUUAGUAAGCUUACUACAGCAGUCAUUAAAUAAGCCUUUGCAUAAUUAAGUAAACCUUUGUGUAAUUAUAUAUUUUUAAAAGUCGUUUCUUUUCCAGUCUGGGCUGUGUGUUCUUUGGGACAGGGCUGUUCACCUAUUGUUAUAUCAUGGUUUCUUAGCCCAGUGCACACCACACUGUAAAUUUGAAAACGUUAUUUGCUGAAGAAUAAAAAGAUCACAUAAGAAAGGUAAAAGAUAAAAAAUAUUUCAGGAACUGAUAGGUAAUAGCAUGUAAUAUUUAUUGAGGGCUUUCAGUGAAUCGGGCAUCAUAAGGUAGGUGCUAUUGUUAUGCUCAUGUUAGGCACAUUGGGAAACAGGUGAAGUAGUCAUUCAUCGCGGGCAGUUUGUCCGCUGGGAACAGCCUCCGAACCACACUGUGCUGCACUGUUUCUGAGACACACAGCUCUAAACGAGACUUAAAGGAGAAGAAUGGUCUGAUCUUUUAGACUCUAUAUGUCAGGAUCAAGAGCUAAAUUUUAUUGUAUGUCCAGAGCCAGCCACUAUAUAUAGAGGAGUAGCAUUAUUCAACUUGCAUAUAUGUAAUAUAUUAUUCUAGUUAAGAUUUUGUGAAGAAUAUGUUGCAGGAAUUAAUUAAAAGUUUGCACUAUGGGGACCAGCCUGGUGGUGUAGCGAUUAAGUUCACGUGUUCUGCUUUGGCAACCCAGGGUUUGGCGUGGACUUAGCACCUCUUGUCAAGCCAUAAUAUACAUGGAAGUUGAGACUUGAUGGGAAAGAAGGUUGUGGAAGGUUGGUCUGUGGAAUUGUAAGGAAAAGGGAGCGUCCCAUACAGAAUAACAAAAAUCAAAUCAAAAGCAGUGAAAUAAAUCAUAUAAUGUAAAUGAAAUAAAAUAGAAGAGCAAAAGGAGUUUAGUCUGGACGAGAAAAGAGAAUAGAGUUGUUCAUGGAAAAACUGAACACAUGUAUGUGCAGGAACACUGUAAUAACAAUAAAGUGAAAACAUCCAUCAAUCAAGUCAAAGGAAAAUAAAAUAUUUAGAAGGUAUUUAAACAGUUAAAGUCAAAUUGUUGUAAAAAUAUGCAAAGAGGAGUGGACAUGAAUUGUUCAGAUUUUAUUUUAUUUCUUUAUUAAAGACACUUUGGGAAUGUAUUUAUCACUUUUUAAAUGAAAAAUAGAAAAGGUCAAAAAAUGCACUCAAAAGAUUAAUUGGACUUGGAAGCAAGAGCAGGAUUUCUGUGAACCAUGGCAAUGGCAUUUUUAGUGCUUUAGUUGGGAGCAGAGGGCAGAAUGCAGUGGGUGGAGGAGUGAUAGGAAGAUGAGGAAUGAGACCUCACUAGUGGAGAUAACUUUCAGGAAGUUAGAUAUGAAGUGGGGAAGAAUGCAAGAAGCUGAAUAUAAAUUCCCUAAAAUUAGUGAAAGAUUUGAGCUUCUGUUCAUUCACGUAGACUACAAACAUGAAGAAAAAAAAAUCAUUCGUUUUGGAAACACAGUUUCCAAGGUUACAUAAACUUUCUUUCUUUCUUCACUAUUCUAUUUACUUAAUUGCCAGGGAGAACAUUUUUCAGGAGGAAGAAACUUCCUUUUGCUCCUUCUACAAAAUAUACUAUUCUGUGUAAAAUGAGAAUCAAUGCAUUUUACUCAGAAGAAUGGCAAAAAAAAACUAAUAUUUAUCCCUUAAUUUCCAUAUAGCUGAUGUUAGCGGGAGAUAGAAACUUAUCACUCUGCUAACUUAGGUUCUGUGAUUGGGGCCCUGCGAAUUAACUGUAAAAAUUCAAAAGACAUAUUAACAGGAUAAAACAUGAAGUUUAUUCACAUCCAUGUGAGCGCACAAAGUGCGGCUCCCUGGAUAGCUAGAGUUAAGGGUUUACAUAUUAUCUUGAUAGUAAGGGAGUUAAGACUUCAAAUAAAACCAGUUGGUGAGAAACUAGUGAGAAACAAGUAGGGGGAAACAAUAGAAGGUAUGGAAAGUUUUGUAUGUGCAAUUUCUCAUCCGGGUGCCAGUGGUCUGUCUCCUUUCUGGCUGUAAACCUCCUACAGAAGGGAUUUAUGAUGGCUGUAUUUUGGGGAGGCUUUGUUUAAGUUAGCAAAAGAUGUUUAGAUAAGAUCAUUUCCUGU
rnacentral:lncRNA from 1 species